AAGACCUUGCACUUUUGGAGCGGCCGAUGUCUGAUUAGCUWGUUGGUGRGGUAAUGGCCUACCAARGCUUCGAUCAGUAGCUGGUCUGAGAGGACGGCCAGCCACACUGGGACUGAGACACGGCCCAGACUCCUACGGGAGGCAGCAGUGGGGAAUUUUGGACAAUGGGSGCAASCCUGAUCCAGCCAUGCCGCGUGAGUGAAGAAGGCCUUCGGGUUGUAAAGCUCUUUCAGCCGGGAAGAAAAGGUUGCGAYUAAUAAUCGCAAUCCCUGACGGUACCGAAAGAAGAAGCACCGGCUAACUACGUGCCAGCAGCCGCGGUAAUACGUAGGGUGCGAGCGUUAAUCGGAAUUACUGGGCGUAAAGGGUGCGCAGGCGGUUUUGUAAGUCAGAUGUGAAAUCCCCGGGCUUAACCUGGGGAACU
rnacentral:rRNA from 1 species